CCUACGGGAGGCUGCAGUGGGGAAUAUUGCUCAAUGGGCGCGAGCCUGAUCCAGCCAAGUAGCGUGAAGGAUGACUGCCCUACGGGUGGUAAGCAUCUUUUAUAAAGGGAUAAGGUGAGGCACGUGUGCCUUCUUGUAUUUACUUUAUGAAUAAGGAUCGGCUAACACCGUGCCAGCCGCCGCGGUAAUACGGGGGAUCCGAGCGUUGUCCGGAUUGACUGGGUUUAAAGGGAGCGCAGAGGGGUUGUUAAGUCAGUUGUGAAAGUUUGCGGCUCAACCGGAAAAUUGCAAUUGAUACUGGCAGGCUAGAGUACAGUAGAGGUAGGUGGAAUUCGUGGUGUAGCGGUGAAAUGCGUAGAUAUCACGAAGAAUUCCGAUUGCGAAGGCAGCUUACUAAACUGCCACUGACAUUGAGGCGCGAAAGUGUGGGUAUCAAACAGGAUUAGAUACCCGUGUAGUC
rnacentral:rRNA from 1 species